GAUUGGCCUGGCCUCCUCGGCCACGUUCAUCGUCGGUACUUGUCGGCGUUUGGAUGUUGUUGCUGGCGACCCUUGUCUGAUUUGUGUUGGCUUAAGAGACGUUUGCGGGAUUUGCUGGCGUCCGGCGGCUCAACACCAGGCCAUCCCGC